CCCGGCCCGGCCCGCCGCCCCCUGCAAGCAGGAGCUGGGGGCUGGUGCAGCCCCACCCGCGGCCGGAAGAAUGAAUGUGGCUGCCUGAGUUGUAUCCAGAACUAUCAGUUUCCUCACUGAGAAGACAAAAGGGUUCCUGUUGUAUGUGUCUAUAUUCCAGUGACUUGCUCUCCAGUAGACGUUGCAGACUCAUCUGAGACAACUUCUGUUCACCUGACACCUGUGCUCUAAAGAUUAUGGUUAUUAAAGCAUCUGUAUGAAA